rnacentral:rRNA from 1 species
UACGGAGGAUGCAAGCGUUAUCCGGAAUUAUUGGGCGUAAAGCGUCCGCAGGUGGCACUUCAAGUCUGCUGUCAAAGACCGGGGCUUAACCCUGGAAAGGCGGUGGAAACUGAAGUGCUAGAGUGUGGCAGGGGUAGAGGGAAUUCCCGGUGUAGCGGUGAAAUGCGUAGAGAUCGGGAAGAACAUCGGUGGCGAAAGCGCUCUACUGGGCCAUAACUGACACUCAGGGACGAAAGCUAGGGGAGCGAAUGGG